CAUAGGGACGUCACAGAUUUCAAAGCAGUCAUUUUUGUGUUUAUAGACCAUAGUGGCCCAGUUGAUGUCCUCGACACUUGUUAGGUUGAGCUUUUUGCUCUUUCAGAAUCCAACGUUAUACAUUUCUAUCGAGAAAAUAUUAAGUAAGCUCGAGCAUGUGCCACUAACAUCUGCGCAAUCCCGUGGUAAGCUUGUGGGAAAACUUCAUGGCGGCAUCGCAGCCUCUCUUUCGUUUUUUUUUUUUUUUUGCGUCUUUUCUUAUUUACCACGCAAGUCUCUUCUCAAGGUAUAAGAAUGGCUUCUCUGGCACUGCAAGAAGUAAUUGCCUACUUCGGCAAAAAUGAAUUUUUUUUUCAUUUAGUGCCAAUUUAGAACGUGUGGAUCCCGACGGUACAUGACCACAGUGACAUCCGGUUCCAUGUCAGCAUCCAGUUCGGGACAAUGUUUUGUUCUCCUGACCCACGUGGCUCCAGGAUGAAACUGAGACGAUCGACUGACGAGGACGAACAACGAGGACAGCGUAUAUAACUCGAAGGACGUACGAACUACGUAAAGCCAGUUCUGAGCUUUUCAACUGCUGUCGCAGUUACAAAGAAAGCGAGCGAGCUGUCAUUCCGACGACUGAUCUCUUUCCACGUGCCCUUCGGAAUCGGAAGAAACCGCUAUGCAUAGAGAAUAUAUCCAGUCGCACCCAGCGUGACGGCUUCCAGCGGAACUCGUAAAACAGCUCAGCGUUAGGCGUCAGUAUUGGCUCGGGAGAGAAAUUGUGCCUAUGGUUGCGAGCUGUAUGGCAACCGCAAAAAAAGAAAAAGAAGAAAAAUAAGCGCACGCGCUGUCGACCCAGUUCGUUGGACCUUGCGCGCCCCUUUGUUUCUGCGCUGGCACCCGGGAAGAGAAGCACGCAUCUGGAGGUGACAUGAAUAAUGGAUGCCCGUGAAAAAAGGACUGUCCUCUCGCCAAUUUCGGCUGCUACAGGAACUUGUCUGAAUAAACACGAUCGAAGAAAGAACCUCUUCGGCGUCGUUUUGCCAUCAGAAGGCUUUCAAAGGAAGGACUCGGAAGCUGUCCAGCGAAAGGACUGAAGCCUGCGGUCUGCAGUUUGACAUGAGGCCCGGAAACCAGAAACAAAACAGCUGGAAAUCGUCGCAUGUAUGCUGCCCAGCUUCGAUGUAUAUGCAUGAUAUUAGUGAAGCUCAACCUGAAGAGAAAUUAUAUAAUGUAAGCGAA